rnacentral:rRNA from 1 species
UUACGGGAGGCAGCAGUGGGGAAUUUUGCGCAAUGGGCGAAAGCCUGACGCAGCAACGCCGCGUGGAGGAUGAAGGUCUUCGGAUCGUAAACUCCUGUCAGGGGGGACGAAUGCCUUAACCGGUUUGACUGUACCCCCUGAGGAAGCCACGGCUAACUCCGUGCCAGCAGCCGCGGUAAUACGGAGGUGGCAAGCGUUGUUCGGAAUUACUGGGCGUAAAGGGCGCGUAGGCGGCAUGGCAAGUCAGAUGUGAAAGCCCCGGGCUUAACUCGGGAAUUGCAUCUGAAACUGCUUUGCUUGAGUCCUGGAGGGGGUAGUGGAAUUCCCAGUGUAGCGGUGAAAUGCGUAGAUAUUGGGAGGAACACCGGUGGCGAAGGCGGCUACCUGGACAGUGACUGACGCUGAUGCGCGAAAGCUAGGGGAGCAAACGGGAUUAGAUACCCCAGUAGUCG